GAAAAGUAGGCUAAGGUUCAGAGUCAAUACGAUAGUUAUCUUCACUAUACUCAUUCUUAUGGAUUAAUGUUGGAAUUUUUUCUCGCAAUCGUCCUUUAGAAUCAACUAUUAUCAAGGAUUCGACUUUUGUAUUUGUCUUUUUUUCAAUAUUUGCUGACUUCUUCAUCUUUCGAGUGCCUUGAUGAUUUUUUUUUGAUUUUUU
rnacentral:lncRNA from 1 species